GACGAACGCUGGCGGCGUGCUUAACACAUGCAAGUCGAACGGAAAGGCCCUGCUUUUGUGGGGUGCUCGAGUGGCGAACGGGUGAGUAACACGUGAGUAACCUGCCCUUGACUUUGGGAUAACUUCAGGAAACUGGGGCUAAUACCGGAUAGGAGCUCUUGCUGCAUGGUGGGGGUUGGAAAGUUUCGGCGGUUGGGGAUGGACUCGCGGCUUAUCAGCCUGUUGGUGGGGUAGUGGCUUACCAAGGCUUUGACGGGUAGCCGGCCUGAGAGGGUGACCGGCCACAUUGGGACUGAGAUACGGCCCAGACUCCUACGGGAGGCAGCAGUGGGGAAUAUUGCACAAUGGGCGGAAGCCUGAUGCAGCAACGCCGCGUGCGGGAUGACGGCCUUCGGGUUGUAAACCGCUUUCGCCUGUGACGAAGCGUGAGUGACGGUAAUGGGUAAAGAAGCACCGGCUAACUACGUG
rnacentral:rRNA from 1 species